AGAGUUUGAUCCUGGCUCAGAAUGAACGUUGGGCGGCGUGGAUUAGGCAUGCGAGUCGUGCGAGAACCGUAGCAAUACGGGGACAGCGGCGAAAGGGAGAGGAACACGUGGAUACCUACCCUCAGGUUCAGGAUAGCUAUGGGAAACUAUAGGUAAUACUGAAUAAUAUCUCCGGAUCAAAGGUGUGAUUCCGCCGGAGGAGGGGUCCGCGUCCUAUUAGCUAGUUGGUGAGGUAAUGGCUCACCAAGGCGAAGAUGGGUACGGGAUGUGAGAACAUGAUCCCGCUCAUUGGGACUGAGACACUGCCCAGACACCUACGGGUGGCUGCAGUCGAGAAUCUUCGGCAAUGGGGGAAACCCUGACCGAGCGACGCCGCGUGUGAGAUGAAGGCCUUCGGGUUGUAAAUCACUGUCGUAGAGGAGGAAGUGUAGGUGGGUUCUCCCACUUAUUUGACCUAUUCUAGGAGGAAGGACGGGCUAAGUUCGUG
rnacentral:rRNA from 1 species